CUGACUUUCCGGAAAUAACAGCUACAGCCAGGUCCUGCUCAAGCCCUGCUGGCUUUGGGACGAGUCUGGGCCUGAACAUGAGCAAGAGAAAGUCAAAGGGAAAUAGUUACAUCAACUUAUUUUGAAUACAUCACUUGGGUGAGUUGAAGAGGCUAGCCUUUAUCCCAAGUGGUGCUCAAAUAACAUCAUCAAGCCAUUCUAUCAGUAUUUUGUAGAAACAGCAGCAAAAAAAUGUGAGAAAAAUUGCAAACUGUCCACUCUGACUAGUCAGGGCCAGUUACUAUGUUGACAGCCGUUCUUAUUCAAGAUAAACUAUAUUGGAUUUAGAGAUGAGGCCAAUUUUUAAAAAAUAUAUCCAAUUUUCAGCAACUAUUCUGAGUGCCUAUUGUAUGUUAGGCAUCAUGAGGAUUAAUUAUAGAAACAUGAGCUGAAUCUUCAGUCCACACUUUGAUGAUGGAGGAAACAAUGGAGGACCUAUAAGAAACCAAAAGGCUAUUCUACGGUGGACUUAGACCUGACAAAAGUGACAGCUUUAGAGGAGGGACACGUUUGUCCAUUGGCCCAGUCCCCACCUGGCUCUCUUCAUUUUUUCAUAUUUCCUGCCUGACCUUGGAGCCAUUUGAUUCAUGACAUAUCCAUUAUCAUGUUCACAUGAGUAAAAAGUAAAAAGUCCUGGAAAAGCAUGGGAAAACCUGGAAUCUAAUCCUGUCUCUGGCAUUUACCAAGAUGGGGUUUGAGAUCAACUACUUGAUCUCUCUGAGCCUCAUUUUCUCCCUUUAUAAGAAAUGGAAGACUUAAAACCAGAUGCCUACUUCAGCAAAUACUUCAGAGAAGAUCUUCAUUUAGAGGAUAAUCAGCAAAAAAAGGUUUGUGUCUAUGACUUUUAUCAAUUUUCAGAGGGGGAGGAUGGUGGUGAAUUGCUAGUGUGUAUUUGAAGUGGGAAGGGAAAUCAGUAAGUUUGGGGCAGGAGUGCAAAGGGAGGAUGGCAGCCACAGAAAGGGCACUGGGAAGAGUUCUUGGCUUUCAUCAGUGGUCCCUGGGAUGGAGAGAGAUAGAGAAGCUCUAUCUCAGUUUAGUUCUAAACUAAAGAGACAUAGAGAAGCUCUGGAUGGAGAACAGGUAGUUUAGUUCUCCUGACUUUUAACAGAUAUUCUUUGCCUUGUGAAUCUUCUCAGCCAUGAUGAUGUUGCUUAAAGGAGCUUUAUCUCUGGGGAGUCAUUACUCACUAUGCCAAUGAAUGUUCAGAUGAACCACAGGCAAGACGGACCCUCAAUAGCUCACACUCUAUUGGGGGGCAGAUGCAGGUCCCCAUCCUAAGUUAGGAUUAAGUUUCUUCCCCUUCUUAUUGUUGGUUCCAGUCACUUUGGAUCUCUCGUAGAAAAUAGACUGAUUAGGGGUGCCUGUGUGACUCAGUUGGUUAAGCAGACUGACUCUUGAUUUUGGCUCAGGUUCUGAUUUUGUGCUUCAUGAGAUCGAGCCCCGUGUGGGCUUUGGAUUCUCUCUUUCUUUCUUUCUCUUUCUCUCUGCCCCUCCCCCACACUUUCUCUCUCACUCUAAUAAAUAAAUACUUAAGAAAAUAGACUAAUAUGUAAUUACAUAUUAUUAGUAUAUAUGUACAUAAAUCAUACACACACUCAUACACAUACUGUUAUCUUUGAGUUAAAAGAUGUGUGAUCUCUUGACUUUAUCUUGUAGGAACCCAGCAAUAUUGACAAAUAAAAUGUUGUAUUGCACUUCAUGUGCCUGAGAUUAAAAAAACAAGCAAACAAAAAAACCUCAUCUACUGUGUUUCAACAGCUUGUUUCUUUUAUGGAAUAUAACUCAAGUGACGGUAACCAGAGAAGUGACCCACUAGGAAGAGACUACUUAUUGCCAUAAAUAAGUAUCUGCAGGGGUGCCUGGGUGGCUCAGUCAGUUGAGGGGCUGACUUCGGCUCAGGUCAUGAUCUCACGGUUUGUGAGUUCGAGCCCCAUGUUGGGCUCUGUGCUGACAGCUCAGAGCCUGGAGCCUGCUUCUGAUUCUGUGUCUCCCUCUCUCUCUGCCCCUCCCCCACUCAUGCUCUGUCUCUGUCUCAGAAAUAAACAUUAAAAAAAUAAGUA